GCAAAUGAGCUAGAGCGCGUCGGUGGUGCGCACCGAGUGGCCUUGGUUGAUCCAUCAGCGGGCCGGCGGGGCAGUCGCACCUCUUGCGGGGGACACCAGAGCUCCGGUCGCCGGAUUCCAACGCGCAGUGUGAGCAGAGGCUCCUCUGGGCCAGCCCCAAGUCCCAAGGCCUGGCAGUGGGUGUGGCUUUGGGCACCGGCUUCAGCCAAAGUCGGUUCCCUCUUGGGGCUUAAAGGAACACUUGGGGCCUGUAUUGAGCAAGAUCUCACAUAGCCCAGCUGACCUCAAGCUUCAGUGGCCAAGAAUAACCUGAAUUCCUGCCUUCCCCCCCCCCCCCCCCGUGCGGGGCGGGGGGGGGGGUGUUAUAGAGAGACCCGAUAUACCAAAGAUCAACUUUCCAUACGGCAUGCAUCAUUUUAAAGCGUAUCAGCAAAUGUGUUGACACCAGGGAGUCUGGUAUUUGAAUACCAUCGUAGAGGUAAAUAGCAAAUUAUCCUCUGGG
rnacentral:lncRNA from 1 species